rnacentral:tRNA from 1 species
GGCAAGAUGGCCGAGCGGUCUAUGGCGCUAGCUUCAGGUGCUAGUAUCGAAAGAUGCGUGGGUUCAAAUCCCACUCUUGUCA